rnacentral:rRNA from 1 species
UACGAAGGGGGCUAGCGUUGCUCGGAAUCACUGGGCGUAAAGCGCACGUAGGCGGCUUUCUAAGUCAGGGGUGAAAUCCUGGAGCUCAACUCCAGAACUGCCUUUGAUACUGGAGAGCUUGAGUCCGGAAGAGGUGAGUGGAACUCCGAGUGUAGAGGUGAAAUUCGUAGAUAUUCGGAAGAACACCAGUGGCGAAGGCGGUUCUCUGGGCCUUACCUGACGCUGAGGAGCGAAAGCGUGGGGAGCAAACAGG